rnacentral:lncRNA from 1 species
CAUAACAAAACCCCACUUUGUAGUGAGGUUGAGGGAAAAAACAAUGAGGUCUCUAAUGGCCUCCGCAACAGUCACUCUUGUGUUAGCAAUACUGUCUCUAAGCUUGCCAUCUCAAAUCUCAGCUGAUACCUACUUGUACUCAUCACCUCCUCCUCCCAAGAAGCCCUAUUAUUAUCACUCUCCUCCACCACCUUCACCUCCUCCACCUAAGCCAUACUACUAUCAUUCACCACCACCACCUUCACCUCCUCCACCCAAGCCAUACUACUAUCACUCACCACCACCACCUUCACCUCCUCCACCUAAACCAUACUACUAUCACUCACCACCACCACCUUCACCUCCUCCACCUAAACCAUACUACUAUCACUCACCACCACCACCUUCACCUCCUCCACCUAAACCAUACUACUAUCACUCACCACCACCACCUUCACCUCCUCCACCUAAGUCAUAUUACUAUCACUCACCACCACCACCACCCAAAAAGAAGCCAUACUACUACCAUUCUCCCCCACCACCUUCACCACCUCCUCCUAAGCCAUACUACUAUCACUCUCCCCCACCGCCUUCACCUCCUCCACCUACGCCAUACUACUAUCAUUCUCCCCCACCACCCUCACCACCUCCACCUAAGCCAUACUACUACCAUUCACCACCACCCCCACCGAAGAAGAAGCCUUACUACUACCACUCUCCACCACCACCUUCACCUCCUCCUCCAAAGAAGCCAUACUACUACCACUCCCCACCUCCUCCCAAGAAGCCCUACAAAUAUUCAUCUCCCCCACCUCCAGUGCACCCUUACCCUCAUCCUCACCCCCAUCCCCAUCCACACCCCCACCCUCACCCUCCCUACGUUUACAAAUCUCCUCCCCCACCCCCUAAGAAGCCAUACAAGUACCCAUCCCCACCACCUCCAGUCCACGUUUACCCUCACCCUCACCCGCAUCCACACCCUCACCCUCAACCUCACCCCCAUCCACAACCCCACCCUCCCUACAUUUAUCAGUCUCCUCCACCACCCCCUAAGAAGCCUUACAAGUACCCAUCGCCUCCACCUCCCGUCCACCCAUACCCCCAUCCCCACCCUCUUCCUCAUCCCCACCCUCACCCUCUUCCACAUCCCCACCCUCUUCCCCAUCCUCACCCUCUUCCUCAUCCCCACCCUCUUCCCCAUCCUCACCCCCUCCCUCCUUACACUCCUCAUCCAAUCUAUCACUCUCCAUCACCACCACCACCUUACAAGAAGCCUUACAAGUACAAGUCCCCUCCACCACCUCCACACUACAUCUACGCAUCACCUCCACCUCCUUACCACUCUUAGACAGUGGUCAACUAGCAUAGUUCUAUGGUAACCUUCUUCAUACCUACGUACAUGCUACAUUAUUAUAAUUUCUCAUUAAUGGUUCCGCAUUUUUUUACAUCUAUACUUGUUCCCAAAAAAUGAAUACCAAACCCUCGUGAUCCCUGUCAAGGUUUUUAACUUGAUACGGAAAAUGAUUUUUCUGGUUUGGUUUUAUAGGGACCACGUACCCCUCACUGAAAUUGACAGACACUAUAAUAAUAUGUGCAUGUGUUCUAAUGUUUUGUA